CGUCAAAGAUUUUCACAGGAGAAGGCUUGAGGUUCUUUCUGAAGCUGGAGCUGAUAUAAUUGCUUUUGAAACAAUUCCAAAUAAACUUGAAGCUCAAGCAUAUGUUGAACUUCUUUUGGAGUGUGACACAAAAAUUCCAGCUUGGUUUUCUUUCACUUCGAAGGAUGGGAUCAAUGUUGUUAGUGGAGAUUCUAUGGCUGAAUGUGUUUCUCUGGCUGAUUCAUGCAACAAAGUCGUUGCUAUUGGAAUCAACUGCACUGCACCUAGAUUCAUC